ensembl:snoRNA small nucleolar RNA SNORA16B/SNORA16A family
ACAGGCUCCUAUCCAAGCUGUCCAUGCUAUCUCUGUUGCGCCAGACGGUCAUCAGGUUGCCAGCCUGAUGACCUUCAGCGACGGUCGCUGUUUGGUUCCUUAAUGACGGUUUCAGCAACAUAAAGGGGAAGAACAAUU